rnacentral:lncRNA from 1 species
UUUGCUCUUCAUUUCAACAUGUCUUUUCCUCUUACUCUUUGUGAUUUUCACUUGAUCCUUUUGAGUUUUGAUUCCAAAGUUCUUAAGAGACAGAGAUCCUAUUGGCUGGUGCAAGACCAUAGCAGUUGUGUGUGUGUGUGUGUGUGUGUGAGAGAGAGAGAGAGAGGGAGAGGGAGAGGGAGAGGGAGAGGGAGAGGGAGAGGGAGAGCGCUGAGUCACUGUCUCCCAUUUCUGGCUUUGCUUCUCACAUCCACAACCCAUGUGCUCUACUUCCAUUUUUUCCUCUCAUUCCUGUUCCAAGCACAUCUGAAGGGCCCUCCAGACUAAGACUCCACCAUGAGCACCUUUCACCUUGCACUUCCCCGACCCUGCUUCCCUUGUCCAGGACUACCAACAGGAUGCUGGACCAGGCUGAGCUGGACAGCCAUAGCCAGGUAGCCAGUUGGAUCCCUCUCCAGUGAUAACAAAGGUCUGGAGUCUCAGAGGGCUUUUCCUAGGACAAGACGUACCUCCAGAUCAAGAAAUUAUUUCAGCUGUGGCAUGAUCAACAAGUUCUGGAGAGGAAGGAAACCUUUCUAAACCACAAAUAACAAAAAACAUCUAUCUAUUAUGUCAGAAGACAAAGUUGUCUUUCUAUUCUCUGUACAUAAAAUGGCAUUGUAAAAUUUUUACCAUGUGAAAAAAGAUCAAUGAGUAUAACGCCAAAAAUAUAGGGAAAAGAUGUAUUACAUAGAUGGGUCAGCACUUUAGUUGUAAUUGUAGCAAAAAUUGUUAAUUAAAAC